rnacentral:rRNA from 1 species
AAUCAACGCUGGCGGCGUGCCUAACACAUGCAAGUCGCACGAGAAAGGGACUUCGGUCCUGAGUACAGUGGCGCACGGGUGAGUAACACGUGAAUAAUCUACCUCCGAGUGGGGAAUAACCUAGAGAAAUCUGGGCUAAUACCGCAUAACACUUACGAGUCAAAGCAGCAAUGCGCUUGGAGAGGAGUUCGCGGCAGAUUAGUUAGUUGGCAGGGUAAUGGCCACCAAGACGAUGAUCUGUAUCCGGCCUGAGAGGGCGCACGGACACACUGGAACUGAAAC